UUUCUCUUAUAUAGGACUGUAUUUGAAAGUAAUUUGAGUUAUAAAGAAAAUAAUUUUCAUCAGGCAAUAUUUUAGGGCCUGCCUCUAUGUCCUCAGCAUUGAGCUUCUUCCUUCGAAGAACUGAUAAGCAGCUAUUUGUAUACCCUAUUUUACUGUGUCAUUUUUCUACCAAUAAUUUUACUGAUGUAGCAGGUCCUUUUUUGAUGGGAUAUAUUUUCUCUGACAAACAUGGGUGUUAAAAAUAUCAGAUUUUUUUUUUCCUUAUUGCUCUCUAGGUCCUACAAGCAUGAUAGCAUUAGGAUGAUGGACCAGAAUGAUGUUCUGUGUGAUGAUGAGGGCAUUGCGGACCAUGUGGACCACAAGGAGGCAUGAAAUGCAAGGACUAACAUGUCACUGAGGCGUUUCAUGUUCUAAAAUGACUUUUGCCAGUCUCAGCCCCAUGACUACAAGAGCAAUCCCUGCAAGAGGAGCAUAUGAAAGUCGACAUUUUAUUCUUUACAUGAGAUUUGGGGAGUUCCAUUCCAAGAUGGCCGAAUAGGAACAGCUCUGUUCUGCAACUCCCAGGGUGAUCUAUGCAGAAGAUGGGUGAUUUUUGCUUUUCCAACUGAGGCCCCCAGAAGAUUGGACGAUGACUGCCUGCAUUGUUGAUUAGGUUUCUCCUCGUAGUGAGAGACAUGGGCACCAGUAACUACCAGAGACACAAAACCUCACAGCUGAACCUCAGGUACAAAAACAAGGCAUCAGCCCAGUCACCUUUCACUGUUCUUUGUCUGCUGCAUCUUUUGGAUAGCUUAUCAGGUCUUGCCUGUAGUACCUUAUGCAGCUAUGUGAGACGGAAUGAUCCUAGAUGACCUCAAUUACAUGUCUGGACCUUCGCUGGAGUGUCUGGACAUUCUUUGUCUGUGCAGUGUCUCUCUCCAUGUGAUUUAUCAUCUUCAAGGAGGCUAAACUGUGCUUAUUUGCAGAAUAAGAGUGUUGGGAUUCUAAAAGGGCAUAUUCUAUUGGUUAAAGAAUGCCAUCCAAGAUUCAAAAGGAAAGGGAAUAGAUUUAUUGGAUAGCAUGGUGACUAUAGUUAAUGACAACAUAUUGUAAUUUUGAAAAAUGUUGAGUAUACCUAUUAAGUGUUCUCACCACAAAAUGAUAAUGAUGUGAAGGGAUGCAUUUGUUAAUUAGCUAGAUUUAACUUAUCCACAGGUAUAUCCAAUUUACAACAUUAUGUUGUUUGUGAUAAAUACAUGCAAUUCUAUAUGUUAAUUUAUAGUAAAUAAAUACAUAAAUAAAUUUGAAAAAAAAGAAAGGGGAAGGAAAUAGAUGUCACCCACUGUGGCAGGGAGGCCAAAAAAAGUGACAAAUCAAUCCACCACAACCUCUUUGAUCAGCACACUUUAUAAAGCAGAAUGACAUCAUACAGUAAAGGACAGAAGAGUGAUUGAGAGUGAACACAUGAAGAUACUGGAGCCUGACAACUAACAAGAGAAUAAUAUUUAAAGCUGUGGAGUGUUGUGGUCAAGACUGCAGAGUUUAGAAUGAAUCUGCCUAGGUGUGAUUCUUGGUUUCUUCAUUUAAUAGUUGUAUAGCUUGUUGGGUCGCUGUGAGGAUUAAAUGAGCUAAUGUAUAAUAUAUGAAGUGCUUGGUCUAGCUCUUGAGGGAUUGUAAGUGCUAACUAAAUGUUAUAAAUCAUUUUUGAGCAUAACUUAUAUUGCAAAUUGCUUAUCACAGAAGUAUUUACAACUUAAAGCUAGGAAUUUAAACUUUAUCAUUUUUGUCUAAUAAAUUAUUGAUUUUAUAUGCUCACUUUAGCUUAUAAAUAUGUUUUUGAUUUCAGAUUGUCAUGCUAUUAGAAAUUCCUCCAAUAUGUCUCUCAUAAUUGAUAAAGUGACAUCCUUAAGGACUUGAUAAAAAUGUCACUCAGUUUUUAUUCAGUUUCCAAAACAGCAAAACACUACCAAUGACUUUUUUUCUUUUGCCUCCUCUUGGAUUAAACAUUGUUUUUUUCUCCUUUUAUUUUUGCUGUGUUGGAAAGCUAUGUACUCUAGGUAUAUUCUUUAAGUAAGUUUUCCUACAAUUUUAACAAGCUUGCUUAUUCUUUUAUAUAUUUCUAACCCAUCCAAGUUACUGAGGUAAACACGUUAUGAAAUUUGUCUAAAUAUUCUCCAACAAUCUGCGAAGUUUUGAUUUUGUAAAAUUUCUACCUUGUUUUAAAACAAAAAUAGCUUAUUUUAUAAUCUUUUCAUACGUGAUGAUUUAUUGACAUGUUUUACUUAUGUUUUUGCUCAUUAUUGUUUUUUUCUCUUCACUUUUUGUGUUUACAUAUCUUGUUGUCCAAGUUUGUCAUUCAAUGUUUGUAGCAAACAUCUGGAGCCGUAAACUAUUGGUGAAACUGUUUCGGUUUUCUUUUCUUUUUUUCUCUUCUCUUUUCUUUCUUUUAUUUUCUUUGUUUUUUCUUUCUUUUUUUUUUUAAACUCAGUAAUGGUAGUUUAGCAAGAUGUAGAAGAAAAGAUGCAUUUAUUUUCUGUCACUAUAGUGACUUAUAGCACCUAUUACUCCUGAUAGGAAGUCUUAUGUCAGAUUAUAAUCUUUUCACUUUUGUACUUUUUAAUAUUUUUCCAUUUUCCUUAAUUUUUUAAUAAUUUAUUUUUUCUAAGCAUUUUUCAAAAAUUGUAUAUAUUUAAAGUAUGCAAUGUAAUUUUUCUAUUUUAUAUAUAUAUAUAUAUAUAUAUAUAUAUAUAUAUAUAUAUAUAUAUAUAUAUAGUCAUCCCUCAGUCUCUGCAGGCGAUUUGUUCUAGGACCUCAUGUAUACCAAAACUUGCAAAUGUUCAAGUCCCUUAUUUAAAAUCAUUUAGUAUUUGCAUGUAUCCUACACACAUUCUCCCUUAGACUUUAAAUCAUUUUGAGAUUACUUAUAACACUCAAUUCAAAUAAAUCUUAUGUAAAUAGUUGCUAUACUGUCUCAUUUUUUAUUUAUAUUAUUUUUAUUGUAUAGUUAUUUUUAAUUAUUUUCAAAUAUUUUCCAUCUGAAGUUGGUUGAACCUGUGUACCUGGAAGCUAUGGAUAUGGAGGGCUGACUGUACAUAAUGAAAAGGUUACUACAGUCAAGUAAAUUAAUGUAUAUACCAUCUCACAUAGUUACUUUUGUGUGUGGUAAGAGCACCUAAAGUUAACUCUCUUAGCAACUUCCAGUAUACAAUACUAUAUUAUUAACUGUAAUCCUCAUGCUAUACAUUAGAUCUCUAGACUUACUCAACCUAUAUAGCUGCAACUUUGUACUCUUUGAUUUACAUUACCUAAUACUCCCUGGCCCAUCCCCCAGCCAAAUCACAGUUCUACUUUCAGUUUCUUUCACUUUUUUAAAAAAAAAGAGUUCAAAUAUAAGUGAGAUUAUGUAGUAUUUUUCUUUCUAUGUUUGGUUUACAUCACUUAGCAUAAUCUUCCUGAUUCAUCAAUGUCACAAAAGGUAGGAUUUUUUUAUUUUUCAAGGUUGAAUAAUAUUUCAGUGUGUAUAUAUAUCACAAUUUCUUUAUUCAAAUUUCUGUCAAUAGACACUUAGGUUGUAUUCAUAUCUGACUAUUGUGAUUAAUACCGCAGUGAACAUGGCGAGGCCAGAUACCUUGAGGAACUGCAGAUUUCAUCUUUUUGGGGUAUGUAUGUACCUAGAAGAGGAAUUGAUGCAUCAUAGGAACUUCUAUUUUUAAUUUUUUAAGGAACCUCCAUACUGUUUUCCAUAAUGGUUGCAUCAAUUUGGAUUUCCACCAACAGCAUAUGAAAGUUUUCUUUUCUCCACACCCUCCUUAACAAUUGUUAUCUCCUGUCUUUUUCAUAAGAGCCAUACUACUAGAUGUGAGGUAAUAUUUCAUAGCGGUUUUGAUUCACAUUUUCAUAAUGAGUCAUGAUGAUGAGCAUUUUUUCAUACACAUGUUGGUCAUUUUUAUGUCUUCAAAGAAAUGCUUGUUCACAUUCUUUACACAUUUUGAAAUUGGGAGAUAUAUAUAUGUGUGUGUGUGUA
rnacentral:lncRNA from 1 species